rnacentral:misc_RNA from 1 species
GAUGAAGAACGUAGCGAAAUGCGAUAAGUAAUGUGAAUUGCAGAAUUCAGUGAAUCAUCGAAUCUUUGAACGCACCUUGCACCCUUUGGCAUUCCGAAGGGUAUGCUCGUUUGAGUGUCAUUGUACUCUCACACUUCUGAUCCUUUGGAUUGGGAGCGGUGGACUUGGGUGUUGCUGCUUUACUGUGGCUCACCUCAAAUGCAUUCGUGCAACUCUUGGUUGGACAUAGUACGGCGUGAUAAGUAUCUUCGCCGGCACCUCGCAAGAGGGUGGCUGAUCAGGAGCUCUGUGCUUUCCAACUGUCUUCAGACAACAACUGACAACUUGACCUCAAAUCGAGUAGGACCACCCGCUGAACUUAAGCAUAUCAAUAAGCAGGA